AGUUUGAUCCUGGCUCAGGACGAACGCUGGCGGCGUGCCUAACACAUGCAAGUCGAACGAAGCUUGACGAAUGAUUUCUUCGGGAUGAAAUCUGAUAUGACUGAGUGGCGGACGGGUGAGUAACGCGUGAGCAACCUGCCCUUGGAAGGGUAUGUUGGAACGACAUAUACCUUAUAAUUUUUUCCCCCAAUAAAAAACAAAAAUGAGUGCGGAGGAGGGUUGGUUUGAUAAAUAGUGGGGGGAACGCCUUCCAAUUGGAGACCGUAGCCGGAUGAAGGUGAACGCCCCAUUGGGAUGAGACCGGCCCAAAUUCUUAGGGGAGCACCAGUGGGAAUUUUCACAAUGGGGAAACCCUGAUGAAGAACGCCGCGUAAAGGAGACGGUUUUCGGAUUGUAAAUUUUUGUUCUUAGUGAAGAAUAAUGACGGUAGUUAAGGAGCAAGCCACGGCUAACUACGUGCCAGCAGCGGCGGUAAUACGUAGGUGGCAAGCGUUGUCCGGAAUUACUGGGUGUAAAGGGAGCGUAGGCGGGAUGCCAAGUCAGCUGUGAAAACUAUGGGCUUAACCUGUAGACUGCAGUUGAAACUGGUAUUCUUGAGUGAGGUAGAGGUUGGCGGAAUUCCGAGUGUAGCGGUGAAAUGCGUAGAUAUCCGGAGGAACACCGGUGGCGAAGGCGGCCAACUGGGCUUUAACUGACGCUGAGGCUCGAAAGUGUGGGGAGCAAACAGGAUUAGAUACCCUGGUAGUCCACACUGUAAACGAUGAUAACUAGGUGUGGGGGGUCUGACCCCUUCCGUGCCGCAGCUAACGCAAUAAGUUAUCCACCUGGGGAGUACGACCGCAAGGUUGAAACUCAAAGGAAUUGACGGGGACCCGCACAAGCAGUGGAUUAUGUGGUUUAAUUCGAAGCAACGCGAAGAACCUUACCAGCACUUGACAUCCGACUAACGAAGUAGAGAUACAUUAGGUGCCCUUCGGGGAAAGUCGAGACAGGUGGUGCAUGGUUGUCGUCAGCUCGUGUCGUGAGAUGUUGGGUUAAGUCCCGCAACGAGCGCAACCCCUGCCAUUAGUUGCUACGCAAGAGCACUCUAAUGGGACCGCUACCGACAAGGUGGAGGAAGGUGGGGACGACGUCAAAUCAUCAUGCCCCUUAUGUGCUGGGCUACACACGUAAUACAAUGGCCAUCAACAAAGAGAAGCAAUACCGCGAGGUGGAGCAAAACUUCAAAAAUGGUCUCAGUUCGGACUGCAGGCUGCAACCCGCCUGCACGAAGUUGGAAUUGCUAGUAAUCGUGGAUCAGCAUGCCACGGUGAAUACGUUCCCGGGUCUUGCACACACCGCCCGUC
rnacentral:rRNA from 1 species